ensembl:lncRNA
UGUAUGUUGCGUGAUUAACUACUCAUGGUGUGAUUGUGGUAAUAUACAGAAACUCAAGUUCUUUUUUUCACCCGACCUAGAAUACCUCACAAUCAAAUGCUUGACCGUAUUACCUCACAAGAGAAUUCUCUUCGGUUAUAUUCACAGCAGUGUAUAUUCCCCCUCAAGCUGAUCCCACGAUGGCCUCAAGGAACUACACUGGGCUUUGUGCAAACUGGAAAUCGUAUAUCCAUCCUGAGGAUGCAUUUAUUGUAGCUGGGGAUUUUAACAAAGGAAAUUAGUGGAAAAAGCUACUGAAGUUCUAUCAACACAUUGACUUUAGUACUGGCUUCGGAAAAACUCUAGACCACUGCUUCCUACAAGGCCCUCCCCCGCCCUCCCUUCGGCAAAUCAAAUCACAACUCCAUUUUGCACCUCCCUUCCUAUAGGCAGAAACUCAGUACGGGCACUUCCUGUUUUAAGGUCUAUUAAACGCUGGUCUGACCAAUUGGAAUCCAUUCUUCAAGAUUGUUUUGCUAUGCUCCGGGUUGCCUCUGAGAAUAACAUUGACAUAUUCCCGGACACGGUGACUGAUUUUCAUCAGGAAGUGUGUAUGGGGUGUUGUUCCCACGGUGACUAUUAAAACCUAUCCCAACCGUGGCUAGAUGGCAACAUUCGUGUAAAACUAAAAGCGGGAACCACCGCAUUUAACCAUGGCAAGGUGACUGGGAAUAUGGCCGAAUACAAACAGUGUAGUUGUUCCCUCUGUAAGGCAAUCAAACAGGCAAAACGUCAGUAUAGAGACAAAGUGGAGUCGCAAUUCAACGGCUCAGACACGAGACGUAUGUAGCAGGGUCUACAGACAAUCACGGUCUACAAAGGGAAAACCAGCCACACUGACGUCUUGCUCCCGGACAAGCUAAACACCUUCUUCACCGGCUUUGAGGAUAACACAGUGCCUCCGACACUGCCCAAGGACUGUGGGCUCUCAUUCUACAUGGCCGUCGUGAGUUUAAGCGUGUUAACCCUUGCAAGGCUGCCGGCCCAGACAUCAUCCUUAACCGCGUCCUCAGAGCAUGCGCAGACCAGCUGGCUGAAGUGUUUACGGACAUAUUCAAUCUCUCCCUAUCCCAGUCUGCUGUCCCCACUUGCUUCAAGAUGUCCACCAAGAAAGCAAAGGUAACUGAACUAAAUGGCUACAGCCUCGUAGCCCUCACUUGUGUCAUCAUGAAGUGCUUUGACAAGCUAGUUAAGGAUCAUAUCACCUCUACCUUACCUGACACCCUAGACCCACUUCAAUUUGCUUUCCGCCCCAAUAUAUACACAGAUGGCGCCAUCGCACUGCACUACCCUAUCCCAUUUGGGCAAAAGGAAUACAGUGCAUUUGGAAAGUAUUCAGACCCCUUGACUUUUUCCACAUUAUGUUACAUUACAGCCUUGUUAUAAAAUUGAUUGAAUUACUAUUUUUCCUCAGCAAUCUACAGACAAUACCCCCAUAAUGACAUCACAAUACCCCAUAAUGACAAAGCAAAACCUGUUUUUUUAAAUAAAAAAACAUUACUUAUGUAAAUAAGGUUUCAGACCCUUUGCUAUGAGACUCGAAAUUGAGCUCAGAUGCAUCCUGUUUCCAUUAAGCACCCUUGAGAUGUUUCUAUAUCUUGAUUGGAGUCCACCUGUGGUAAAUUCAUUUGAUUGGACAUGAUUUGGAAAGGAACACACCUGUCUAUAUAAGGUCCCACAGUUGACAGUGCAUCAGAGCAAAAACCAAGCCAUGAGGUCAAGGAAAUUGUCCAGAGAUACAAGACCGGAUUGUGUCGAGGCACAGAUCUGGAGAAGGGUACCAACAAACAUUCUGCAGCAUUGAAGGUCCCCAAGAACACAGUGGCCUCCAUCAUUCUUAAAUGGAAGAAGAUUGGAACCACCAAGACUCUUCCUUGAGCUGGCCAAACUGAGCAAUCGGGGAGGUGACCAAGAACCUGAGUCACUCUGACAGAGCUCCAUAGUUCCUCUGUGGAGAUGGAGAACCUUCCAGGACAACCAUCUCUGCAGCACUCCACCAAUCAGGCCUUUAUGGUAGAGUGGCCAGACGGAAGCCACUCCUCAGUAUAAGGCACAUGAAGACUUUCAGACCAUGAGAAACAAGAUUCUCUGGUCUGAUGAAACCGAUUUGAACUCUUUUGGCCUGAAUGCCAAGUGUCACAUCUGGAGGGAACCUGGCACCAUCCCUACGAUGAAACAUGGUGGUGACAGAAUAGUGUUGUGGGAAUGUUUUUAGGAGACUAGUCAGGAUCGAGGGAAAGAUGAACGGAGCAAAGUACAAAGAGACACAUCACUGAAAUUGGCCACACCGACAGUGAAGAAGGUGCAAGAGGAGGUUAAAGAAAUGUGUCUCUGCCUCUAAGACAAUCACAAUCUUCUACAGAUGCACAAUUGAGCAUCCUGUCGGGCUGUAUCACCGCCUGGUAUGGCAACUGCUCCGCCCACAACUGUAAGGCUCUCCAGAGGGUAGUGAGGUCUGCACAACGCAUCACCGGGGGCAAACUACCUGCCCUCCAGGACACCUACACCACCCGAUGUUACAGGAAGGCCAUAAAGAUCAUCAAGGACAACAACCACCCGAGCCACUGCCUGUUCACCCCGCUAUCAUCCAGAAGGCGAGAAAAUCAAUCGCUACAAGUGAGUCAAGCCUCUGGUUGGGUGAAGUUGGAAAAGCUGGAGGAAUCUACCAAGCCAGGCCCAAGGAGGGGUCUACAACCACAAGGCCAAACAGCAGACAACAAGCCAACAAAACACAGAAGACAGAAGUGACAAGCUGUUUACAUUUGAUUUGAUUUGAUUUUAUACUGUUAGUAAGUAGAACUGAUUACGUUAUUAUUGGUGAAAUCUAGACAUUUUUGUGGUAGACAUUUAGAAAGAUUUGUAUUAGUAAUUUUGAUGGGUUGGGAAUAUAACUUGAGAAGCCGUGUUAAUAUUAUCUCUGAGGGACUGAAUAUUUUUCAGUGAAAUAUUUACUGUUCAAUAAAUUAAAGUAAUGAACCAAUGUAUGGUGACUUUUAAUGGACUUUACAAUGAAAUGGUUUAUCUAGGGGAACAUUUAUCGAGG